CAGGAGCUGCUGGCCUUGCGCAAAAAAUAUCUCAGCAGCUUCAGUGAUCUGAAGCCCCACCGCACCCAGGGGAUUUCCUCAACCUCCUCCAAAUCCUCCAAGGGAGGGAAAAAGACUCCUGUCCGGUCUACUCCCAAAGAAAUAAAGAAAGCAACCCCAAAGAAAUACUCGCAGUUCAGUGCUGAUGUGGCCGAGGCCAUUGCCUUCUUUGACUCCAUCAUUGCAGAGCUGGAUACAGAGAGACGACCCCGGGCUGCUGAGGCCAGCCUGCCAAAUGAAGAUGUGGACUUUGACGUGGCCACCAGCUCCAGGGAGCACAGCUUGCAUUCUAACUGGAUCCUGCGGGCACCGCGCAGACACUCCGAGGAUAUCGCUGCCCACACUGUGCAUACUGUAGACGGCCAGUUUCGAAGGAGCACCGAGCACAGGACCGUGGGCACUCAGAGGAGACUCGAGAGGCACCCCAUUUAUUUGCCCAAGGCUGUGGAAGGGGCCUUCAACACCUGGAAAUUUAAGCCCAAAGCCUGCAAAAAAGACCUGGGGAGCUCCAGACAGAUCCUUUUCAACUUCUCAGGAGAAGAUAUGGAGUGGGAUGCAGAGCUCUUUGCGUUGGAGCCCCAGUUGUCUCCUGGGGAGGACUACUAUGAGACAGAGAACCCCAAAGGACAGUGGCUGCUUCGAGAAAGACUUUGGGAGCGGACGGUGCCCUGACUCCAUCUGGAUUCCUUGACGUGUCUCAGACUGGGUCCCUGAGAAGCUGUCCGCUUUCAGCGCAGCAUGAGGUAUUUGGUAGAGUUGAAAAUGCCAAUUGUAACACAGUCAACCCACUCAGCACACUGCCUGCUGGUGCCGUGCCAGUGCCAAACAGACCUGUGGCUUCCCAGGGGACAGGUCUCAGGACACUCUCAGAGCUUGAGUUUCUCUGCGUGGGCUGAUGACCAGGGACUUACAGCCUGGCUGGUCUUCAAGAGCUGAAGGAAUGGAAGGUCUUGAGUGGAGUGUCUGGGCUCACUCCCCUGACCUCACCUGGCCUGGUCCUCAUUCUCCACGUGUCUGUCCAGGUGGCUGCUAGCAAUGUGCUCAGUACCAGAAAUGAACUCACCUGUAGAUUUCUGGGCCAAAGCUUCAAAGAGGUAGCUCCUCUUUCUAUGAGGCUCAGAGACAUGCUGGAUCUGCACUGAGGUUGCCGUCUUGUGUGCAGAAUGCAGUUGAGAAAGCAGCUCCUUUUGCUCUCUUUUCAGAGUUUUCCAGAAACUCCUGCUGCAUUAAGCUAAGAUGAGGCUAAUGCCCUGGCAAUGGGGUGAGGGAAGGGGUAUGUCACGAGCCUGCCUGGGGGCCACACUGUUUCCUCAGGCCCCAAAACUCAGCUCCCCUUCACAUAGGCAAUUGACAAGAGAAGAAGGGAGAUGGGGUGAUUCUUUUCUUUUUCUUCUAAUUCUUACCCAGAAAAAUCUUUUUAAAUAUCCAUGGAACCAGUUUAUGACAGGCCACACCUUUCCCUUUCCCCAGUUAAGAGAACAAUCAGAAUCAUUACGUUCUUUUGGUAUAGAAAGGAUUUCUGUAUUUUAGGAACUAUCUGAAUCAGAAUUACAUUUAAAAUAUAUUCUUUGUAUUUCUAAAUACUUUUUACAUUUUUGCAAUAGUUGUACCCAUUCAAGCUUGAGAACCACUGGUUUGGAGAAUAUACUGAAAUUUAUCUAUUCUCACUUCUUUUUUUGGCAUUUUCUUGUAAACCAGUCUGUGCAUGUAUAAGGGUCUUUGGGCAGAAGGAAGGGAGAGAGACAAAAAACAGAAAACAAAACAAAACAAAGAAAACCACAAUCAUUUGAAUUAAGCCAAGGAUGUUCUAGGCUAAGGUCAGGCUAAGAACUGAACAGAGGCUUCCUUUCUGCCAUGCCUGUGGGAUGAUAUUCUUAUUGUUCCAUUUUUUAGGAAGAACCUUUUGUUUAUGUGAACCUGAUCAUAUGAAUCUAAGAAUAUGUAACUCUUACAAAUAAAAAACAGCUAGUAAUUAUAUUGCAUUCUUAGAAAUUUUAUCUCAACAUGUUUUCAGAAUGAAACCAUACUAGAAAUGUUUUAAUACCUCUCUUUAUUAUUUUUCGAGUGCCAAUGUCAAUGUUUGGAAAGUUUCUUUCAUUUUGUUGCUUGUACUAACCCAGCUAUAGCCAGAAGCUUGACUGGAAAGUAAAUGUUUAGGAGAUUUGUUUUAUAAACUGCAUUAAAGCACUGCCAUUUAUCACCACAGAUCUUUUAUUUUCCCUAAAUGUGGCCUUGUUUGAAGCCUCAUCUAUAAAAGUUCAUUGUUGGGGAUAAACUCAGGAUAAAGGUGUCUUUACUCUGCCUCUUAUCAAACUACAGUUUAUCAUAGAUCCACCCUGAAAUUAUGUGGUGAAGAUACUGUGUACAUUUUGUUUUUAAAGAUAAGAAAAAAUAAACAUGACUGCGAGGAUGUUUGGAGUCCUGAUUUUUUAAAAAGCAUUUAUUGCUUAUGGCACAUGAAGCUGUGCCGUCUUAUUUUGCUUUGUUUUGUAUGUUUUUUGUCUUUCAUGAGACUAUACACAGCCUGAAAAAUUCCAUGAUUGGGAAACAGAAGGUUGUCUUGUCUUUGGGGAUCAUUUUUAGGUGUUUGAAGUUGGUGAUAAACCCAAGGAUCUGUGCUCUGCCUGGGGAAUCUUGAGAUGGUGUCUGGUGGGGUUUGAGAUAAAUGAAAUCUGAAACAAUAAAAGUCAAUUCAGAAAACCCA
rnacentral:lncRNA from 1 species